GCGUACCUUAUCCAAAUUGCUACCCCAGAUAUAAUAUCAGUAGUAAAUGUGCUCCUUUUUGGGAUGCUGAUGUUCUGCUCUGAAGCAAUGUAUCUACUCUACUUGCAUCUCAGAACUAUAACUCCUAUUUUCUCCUCCUCCUGCCUAUAACUGAAAUGUUAUACCCAUGUUACGGAUGAGACUCAGCUGGAACACUAAAGGAACUGGGGAUUCUAAGAA
rnacentral:lncRNA from 1 species